rnacentral:rRNA from 1 species
UACGUAGGGUGCGAGCGUUGUCCGGAAUUACUGGGCGUAAAGAGCUCGUAGGUGGUUUGUCGCGUUGUUCGUGAAAACUCACAGCUCAACUGUGGGCGUGCGGGCGAUACGGGCAGACUAGAGUACUGCAGGGGAGACUGGAAUUCCUGGUGUAGCGGUGGAAUGCGCAGAUAUCAGGAGGAACACCGGUGGCGAAGGCGGGUCUCUGGGCAGUAACUGACGCUGAGGAGCGAAAGCGUGGGGAGCGAACAGA